rnacentral:tRNA from 1 species
GUUAAAGUGGCAGAAAAAUGUGAAGAAUUUAAGCUUCUUUUAUGAAAAUUUCCUUUAAUA